GUGGCGGUGUAGUCGGCGGUCGCGUCGGCGUCCAGCAGCGCGUUCUCGCCGAACCGGUCGCCGUCCGCCAGUACCGCGACGGCGAUCUCGUCGCCGUACUUGCCGACGGAGGUCUGGUUGACGCGGCCGUGCGCGAUGAGGUGGAUCCGCUCGGCGGGGGUCCCCCGCUCGACCAGCACCUCACCGGCGCGGAAGUCGCGCUGGACGCAGCGGUCGGCGAGCGUGGCCAGGACCUGCUCGUCCUCGAAGCCGCGCAGCAGGGCGAGUUCGCCGAGUUCGCGCGGGAUCACCCGGACGGUGGCCCCGUCCUGGACGAACUCGAUGCGGCCGUCGCCGACGGUGUAGGUCAGGCGGCGGUUGACGCGGUAGGUGCCGCCCUUGGUCUCCACCCAGGGGAGCGUCUUCAGGAGCCACCGGGAGGUGAUCUCCUGCAUCUGGGGGGCGGACUUGGUCGUGGUGGCAAGGUUGCGGGCGGCCGCCGUGCCCAGACUCAUCUGCUGGGUCGGCUCCA
rnacentral:antisense_RNA from 1 species